rnacentral:misc_RNA from 1 species
UCGUAACAAGGUUUCCGUAGGUGAACCUGCGGAAGGAUCAUUAAUGAAUAUAAAUCGUACUGUUCACGCAGUAUGUGGGGUGGUGACUUCGGUCCCGCUCAUUCAUAUCCAUAACACCUGUGCACUGUUGGAUGCUUGCAUCCACUUUUAAACUAAACAUUAUUGUAACAAAUGUAGUCUUAUUAUAACAUAAUAAAACUUUCAACAACGGAUCUCUUGGCUCUCGCAUCGAUGAAGAACGCAGCGAAAUGCGAUAAGUAAUGUGAAUUGCAGAAUUCAGUGAAUCAUCGAAUCUUUGAACGCACCUUGCGCUCCUUGGUAUUCCGAGGAGCAUGCCUGUUUGAGUGUCAUGAAACCCUCAAACCCAAGUUUUGGAUUUCGGUCCAUGCUUGAGUUUGGAUUUGGACGUUUGCCGGUGAUGAACCGACUCGUCUUAAAAGUAUUAGCUGGAUCUGUCUAUAUGACUGGUUUGACUUGGCAUAAUAAGUAUUUUGCUGAGGACAUCUUCGGAUGGCCAGGACCUAGACUAUUGUCUGCUAACUAAACCAUCACUUUAAGUGCAUCUUUGGAUGUUACUAAUUGUGUAACUUUGACAUCUGGCCUCAAAUCAGGUAGGACUACCCGCUGAACUUAAGCAUAUCAAUAAGCGGAGGAA